rnacentral:rRNA from 1 species
GAGGAACACGUGAAGAAUCUGCCCUCCACUUUGGGAUAACUCCGGGAAACCGGUGCUAAUACCGGAUACUCCAUCUUGGCGGCAUCGCCGAGCUGGGAAAAAAUUUUGAUGAAAGAUGGUCUCGCGGCCUAUCAGCUAGUUGGUGAGGUAACGGCUCACCAAGGCUACGACGGGUAACCGGCCUGAGAGGGCGAACGGUCACACUGGGACUGAGACACGGCCCAGACUCC